CCUACGGGAGGCUGCAGUGAGGAAUAUUGGUCAAUGGACGAGAGUCUGAACCAGCCAAGUAGCGUGAAGGAUGACUGCCCUAUGGGUUGUAAACUUCUUUUAUAAAGGAAUAAAACGAGGCACGUGUGCCUUUUUGCAUGUACUUUAUGAAUAAGGAUCGGCUAACUCCGUGCCAGCAGCCGCGGUAAUACGGAGGAUGCGAGCGUUAUCCGGAUGUAUUGGGUUGAAAGGGUGUGUAGGCGGGCUGUUAAGUCAGCGGUAAAAUGUCGGGGCUCAACCCCGGCCUGCCGUUGAAACUGGCGGCCUGGAGUGGGCGAGAAGUAUGCGGAAUGCGUGGUGUAGCGGUGAAAUGCAUAGAUAUCACGAAGAACUCCGAUUGCGAAGGCAGCAUACCGGCGCCCGACUGACGCUGAGGCACGAAAGCGUGGGUAUCGAACAGGAUUAGAUACCCUGGUAGUC
rnacentral:rRNA from 1 species